UACGUAGGGUGCGAGCGUUUGUCCGGAAUUAUUGGGCGUAAAGGGCUCGUAGGCGGUUUGUCGCGUCGGGAGUGAAAACUCAGGGCUUAACCCUGAGCCUGCUUCCGAUACGGGCAGACUAGAGGUAUGCAGGGGAGAACGGAAUUCCUGGUGUAGCGGUGAAAUGCGCAGAUAUCAGGAGGAACACCGGUGGCGAAGGCGGUUCUCUGGGCAUUACCUGACGCUGAGGAGCGAAAAGUGUGGGGAGCGAACAGG
rnacentral:rRNA from 1 species